GUCAAGGUCUCCUAAUCUCUAGGAUAGGGAGAGUCAAAUUUGCAUGAGGACUUUUGAGAAAAAUCAAGGAUGCCUGAGGGGAUUUGAGUCCUACAGGCUCAGCACUUAUGAAAAAGGAUAAAGUCCUUCCCAGCCUGGCAGGAGAAGGAAAAGCCUGUGGUGGGGGAAGGGAGUGAAGGCGUGUGCCUCCUCAUGGAACACAGGGUCGGAGUCGGCUAGGAGGGAUAAGAGUACAAUAGAGGGUUGUGUGACACAGACAGGCUGCCAGCCCUCAGCAUGGACCCGGCACAUGGAAUCUGUGAUCUUAAAAGAGUCAAGUGACUACCUUUGGCAACCAAAAGAGACACUGCCUUUUAGAAGGCAUAUCAUCUGAAACUGGCUGAAAGAGCUGUCUUACUUAGGAAGAAAAAUCUCUCCUUUGGAAAGAGCUGGAACUUUUAGUAAAACUGAACAGUGAGGUGGCGGAAGAUAAAUAUGCUGAGGCAUGUUUUCAAGGAGGGGAGAGAGAUUCCUUUUCCUCAGCCGGGCACAGAGCCAACCUGAAGUGUAGCACUGUGGUGACCUGGCGGGAUCUGCUCUCCAGUCACUCCCGAGGGCCCUUCUGGGGACAAGGAGACUUUUCUGUGCGGCCUGUUGAUUUGAAGAUGAUGUCUUGCCACAUUGCCCAGGCUGGUCUCAAACUCCAGGCCUAAAGGGAUCUUCUGACUUUGGCCUCCCAAAGUGCUGAGAUUAUAGGAUCGAGGCUAUCAAGCUACAGAUGAUCUUACAAAUGGAACCCCAAAUGAGCUCAACUAACAACUACCAAGGACCCCUGGACCAACCCGCUGGCCCUUUCAAUGGCCUAAAGAGUUCCCCUCUGGAGGACACUACAACUGCAGGGUCCUUUCUUUGCCCCUAUCCAGCAGGAAGUAGCUAGAGUGGUCAUCACCCAAUUCCCAACAGCAGUUGGGGUGUCUUGUUAAGUGGGGAGAUUGAGAGGUGAAGCCAGCUGGGCUUCUGGGUUGGGUGGGGACUUGGAGAACUUUUCUGUCUAGCUAGAGGAUUGUAAACACACCAAUCAGUGCUAUGUGUCUAGCUAGAGGUUUGUAAAUGCACCAAUCAGCACUCUGUAAAAACGGACCAAUCAGCACUCUGUAAAAUGGACCAAUCAGUAGGAUGCGGGCAGGGCCAAAUAAGGGAAUAAAAGCUGGCCACCUGAGUCAGCAGUGGCAACCCACUCGGGUCCCCUUCCAUGCUGUGGAAGCUUUGUUCUUUCACUCUUCACAAUAAAUCUUGCUGCUGCUCACUCUUUGGGUCCACACCACCUUUAUGAGCUGCAACACUCACUGCGAAGGUCUUCAGCUUCACUCCUGAAGUCAGCGAGACCACGAACCCAUGGGGAGGAACAAUCGACUUCAGACAUGCCACCUUUAAGAGCUGUAACACUCACUGCGAAGGUCUGUGGCUUCACUCCUGAAGUCAGCAAGACCACGAACCCACUGGAAGGAAGAAAUUUCGGACACAUCUGAACAUCUGAAUGAACAAACUCUGGACACGCCAUCUUUAAGAACUGUAACACUCACUGUGAGGGUUCAUGGGUUCAUUCUUGAAGUCAGCAAGACCAAGAACCCACCAGAAGGAACCAAUUCCGGACACAGACUCACUGCAACCUCCACCUCCUGGAUUCAAGUGAUUCUCCUGCCUCAGCCUCCGGAGUAGCUGUGCCUACAGGCACAAGCCACCACACACGGCUAAUUUUUUGUAUUUUUAGUAGAGAUGGGGUUUCACCAUGUUGCUCAGGCUGGUCUCCAACUCCUGAGCUCAAGUGAUCCACCUGUCUCGGCCUCCCAAAGUGUUGGGAUACAUGUGUGAGCCACUGUGCCCGGCCUCCUCUGGAUUAGUUCUUACAGGAAUAGAUUAGUUCUUGCUCGAGCAAGUUGUUAUAAAAGUGAGGUUGCCUCUAGUGUUUUGCAUCCUCACAUAUGUCUGCUUACCUCUUGACCUCUCUCUGUGUUAUGACCCAGCACAAAAGCCCUUACCAGAAGCCAAGCAGAUGCUGAUGCCACACCCCUUGGACUUCUCAGUCUACAGAGCCAUGAAACGAAUAAAC
rnacentral:lncRNA from 1 species